GCCGGGUGCUGUGGUGGGCACCUGUAGUCCCAGGUACUUGGGAGGCUGAGCUAAGAGAAUCACUUAAGCCCAAGAGUUUGAGGUUGCUGUGAGCUGUGAUGCCACAGCACUCUAAAGAGGGUGACAAAGUGAGACUCUGUCUCAACAAAAAAAAAAAAAAAAUUUUUUUUUUUUUUAUUUUUGAGACAGAGUCUCACUUUGUCGCCCUUGAUAGAGUGCCCUGUCUCACGGCAACCUCAAACUCUUGGGUCAAGUGAUCCUCUUGUCUCAG
rnacentral:SRP_RNA from 1 species